rnacentral:rRNA from 1 species
UACGUAGGGAGCAAGCGUUGUUCGGAUUUACUGGGCGUAAAGGGCGCGUAGGCGGUCCUACAAGUCAGAUGUGAAAUCCCGGGGCUCAACCCCCGGAACAGCAUUUGAAACUGUAGGUCUAGAGGGUAGGCGGAGAAAACGGAACUCCACAUGUAGCGGUGAAAUGCGUAGAUAUGUGGAAGAACACCGGUGGCGAAGGCGGUUUUCUAGCUUAUUCCUGACGCUGAGGCGCGAAAGCAAGGGGAU